CCUACGGGUGGCAGCAGUGAGGAAUAUUGGUCAAUGGGCGUGAGCCUGAACCAGCCAAGUCGCGUGAAGGAUGACUGCUCUAUGGGUUGUAAACCUCUUUUAUAAGGGAAUAAAGUGUGGCACGUGUGCUUUUUUGUAUGUACUUUAUGAAUAAGGAUCGGCUAACUCCGUGCCAGCAGCCGCGGUAAUACGGAGGAUCCGAGCGUUAUCCGGAUUUAUUGGGUUUAAAGGGUGCGUAGGUGGGUUGUUAAGUCAGUUGUGAAAGUUUGCGGCUCAACCGUAGAAUUGCAGUUGAUACUGGCAGUCUUGAGUACGGUUGAGGUAGGCGGAAUGCGUGGUGUAGCGGUGAAAUGCUUAGAUAUCACGAAGAACUCCGAUUGCGAAGGCAGCUUGCUAAGCUGCCACUGACGUUGAUGCUCGAAAGUGUGGGUAUCAAACAGGAUUAGAUACCCUUGUAGUC
rnacentral:rRNA from 1 species